rnacentral:rRNA from 1 species
CCGGAGCUUGCUCCACCGGAAAAAGAGGAGUGGCGAACGGGUGAGUAACACGUGGGUAACCUGCCCAUCAGAAGGGGAUAACACUUGGAAACAGGUGCUAAUACCGUAUAACAAUCAAAACCGCAUGGUUUUGAUUUGAAAGGCGCUUUCGGGUGUCGCUGAUGGAUGGACCCGCGGUGCAUUAGCUAGUUGGUGAGGUAACGGCUCACCAAGGCCACGAUGCAUAGCCGACCUGAGAGGGUGAUCGGCCACAUUGGGACUGAGACACGGCCCAAACUCCUACGGGAGGCAGCAGUAGGGAAUCUUCGGCAAUGGACGAAAGUCUGACCGAGCAACGCCGCGUGAGUGAAGAAGGUUUUCGGAUCGUAAAACUCUGUUGUUAGAGAAGAACAAGGAUGAGAGUAACUGUUCAUCCCUUGACGGUAUCUAACCAGAAAGCCACGGCUAACUACGUGCCAGCAGCCGCGGUAAUACGUAGGUGGCAAGCGUUGUCCGGAUUUAUUGGGCGUAAAGCGAGCGCAGGCGGUUUCUUAAGUCUGAUGUGAAAGCCCCCGGCUCAACCGGGGAGGGUCAUUGGAAACUGGGAGACUUGAGUGCAGAAGAGGAGAGUGGAAUUCCAUGUGUAGCGGUGAAAUGCGUAGAUAUAUGGAGGAACACCAGUGGCGAAGGCGGCUCUCUGGUCUGUAACUGACGCUGAGGCUCGAAAGCGUGGGGAGCAAACAGGAUUAGAUACCCUGGUAGUCCACGCCGUAAACGAUGAGUGCUAAGUGUUGGA